rnacentral:rRNA from 1 species
UACGAAGGGGGCUAGCGUUGCUCGGAAUCACUGGGCGUAAAGCGCACGUAGGCGGAUCUUUUAAGUCAGGGGUGAAAUCCUGGAGCUCAACUCCAGAACUGCCUUUGAUACUGGGGAUCUCGAGUCCGGAAGAGGUGAGUGGAACUCCGAGUGUAGAGGUGAAAUUCGUAGAUAUUCGGAAGAACACCAGUGGCGAAGGCGGCUCACUGGUCCGGUACUGACGCUGAGACGCGAAAGCGUGGGGAGCGAACAGG